UUACGGCCAUAUCAUGUUUAAACACCAGUUCUCGUAUGAUCACUGAAGUUAAGAAUCGUCGAGACUUGUACGUACCUAGAUGGGUAACCAUUUAGGAAUACCUGGUGCU